rnacentral:rRNA from 1 species
UAUGACAUCAUAGAGUGAGAAAAGAUUUAUCGGUAUGAGAGGAGCUCGCGUCUGAUUAGCUAGUUGGUGGGGUAACGGCCUACCAAGGCGACGAUCAGUAGCCGGCCUGGGAGGGUGAUCGGCCACAUUGGAACUGAGACACGGUCCAAACUCCUACGGGAGGCAGCAGUGGGGAAUAUUGCACAAUGGGGGAAACCCUGAUGCAGCAACGCCGCGUGAAGGAAGAAGUAUUUCGGUAUGUAAACUUCUAUCGACAGGGAAGAAACAAAUGACGGUACCUGAAUAAGAAGCACCGGCUAAAUACGUGCCAGCAGCCGCGGUAAUACGUAUGGUGCAAGCGUUAUCCGGAUUUACUGGGUGUAAAGGGUGAGUAGGCGGUCAUGCAAGUCAUAUGUGAAAUGUCAGGGCUUAACCUUGGCGCUGCAUAAGAAACUGUAUGACUAGAGUGCA